rnacentral:rRNA from 1 species
GACGAACGCUGGCGGCGUGCCUAAUACAUGCAAGUCGAGCGCAGGAAGCUGACGGAACUCUUCGGAGGGAAGGCAGUGGAAUGAGCGGCGGACGGGUGAGUAACACGUAAGGAACCUGCCUCAAGGAUUGGGAUAACUCCGAGAAAUCGGAGCUAAUACCGGAUAGUUCAACGGACCGCAUGGUCCGCUGAUGAAAGGCGCUUCGGCGUCACCUUGAGAUGGCCUUGCGGUGCAUUAGCUAGUUGGUGGGGUAACGGCCCACCAAGGCGACGAUGCAUAGCCGACCUGAGGGGGUGAUCGGCCACACUGGGACUGAGACACGGCCCAGACUCCUACGGGAGGCAGCAGUAGGGAGUCUUCCACAAUGGACGAAAGUCUGAUGGAGCAACGCCGCGUGAGUGAUGAAGGUUUUCGGAUCGUAAAACUCUGUUGAAAGGGAAGAACACGUACGAGAGGGAAUGCUCGUACCUUGACGGUACCUUACGAGAAAGCCACGGCUAACUACGUGCCAGCCGCCGCAGUAA